AACGCAUCUUGCGCUCAUUGGUAUUCCAGUGAGCACGCCUGUUUCAGUAUCAAAAACAACCCUCAUUCAAAUUUUUUUUUUGAAUGGUCAUGAAGGAAGCUAGUAAUGGCGACCUUUUAAAUUGAGUAAGGCCUGAAUCUGUUCAUCUAGCCUGAACUUUUUUUUAAUAUAAAGGAAAGCUCUUGCGACUUGGACUUUGUUGGGGCCUCCCAAAUAAAACUCUUUCAUCUUGAUCUGAAAUCAGGUGGGACUACCCGCUGAACUUAA
rnacentral:misc_RNA from 1 species